UGGGGAAUUUUGGACAAUGGGCGAAAGCCUGAUCCAGCAAUGCCGCGUGUGUGAAGAAGGCCUUCGGGUUGUAAAGCACUUUUGUCCGGAAAGAAAUCCUUGGCUCUAAUACAGUCGGGGGAUGACGGUACCGGAAGAAUAAGCACCGGCUAACUACGUGCCAGCAGCCGCGGUAAUACGUAGGGUGCAAGCGUUAAUCGGAAUUACUGGGCGUAAAGCGUGCGCAGGCGGUUUGCUAAGACCGAUGUGAAAUCCCCGGGCUCAACCUGGGAACUGCAUUGGUGACUGGCAGGCUAGAGUAUGGCAGAGGGGGUAGAAUUCCACGUGUAGCAGUGAAAUGCGUAGAGAUGUGGAGGAAUACCGAUGGCGAAGGCAGCCCCCUGGGCCAAUACUGACGCUCAUGCACGAAAGCGUGGGGAGCAAACAGGAUUAGAUACCCUGGUAGUCCACGCCCUAAACGAUGUCAACUAGUUGUUGGGGAUUCAUUUCCUUAGUAACGUAGCUAACGCGUGAAGUUGACCGCCUGGGGAGUACGGUCGCAAGAUUAAAACUCAAAUGAAUUGACGGGGUCAUAGCUGUUUCC
rnacentral:rRNA from 1 species